rnacentral:lncRNA from 10 species
AUGAAUUUCAAAGCCAAAACAGGAGACUUCAGAGUUUUACACUACAGAUAGGUUACUUUGGGCUAUUUCUUUAGUGUUCUGCCCCCAAUUUGCCAAUCAGCUGGCCCCCUCUGCUGAGGGGUGUUUAGAUGGAGAACUUCGAGAAGCUCUGAUUACUCCAUUUCCUUUAUUACUAGAGGUGAGGGAAGGGAAGACCAGAGUGGAGGGGUGAUUAGACUGAAGACACACAGCUUGGAGGAGUCUAAAUUGGAAACCCGGAUCUGUUCUUUUCUCUGUACCAAGAAACGCUGCAUAGACGUUGCCUACUACAGCAAGAAAGGAAUCAAAAAUAGAAAAGAGGCUCUGGGUUGACCCUUGGUUUUCCAGAAAUGCAAUUCGAAGAACAGUGUUACCAAGAGUCUGGGCUGUGGGUUGUAAGUAGAGCUGACUCCAUUCAAUGACAGAAGUAUAUUCCUUUACCUUAGGUUCUUUUAGGAUCUAAUGUUCUUUGGGAAAGAGGCUCAGGUGAAGAAAGGAGGAGGCCGAUGCCAGCACCGGGAAGUGAGAGGAAGGAGACCCAGAUAGCAGCAGGGCCAGCCGGAGCCCAUUCCGGAUGCCAGGCUGGGGAACUGGCAGGACUUCCCUUGCUCACACAUCCUGGGGUGUAGCUGCACACGUUUGUGAACACACGCACACACACGCACACCUCGCACUCAGGCCCACAGGUGCUGCAAAGCUUAAGAUCCAACCAUGCCUUACAAAGCUGGAAUGUAAGAGACUACUGAGAAUUGAGUUCUGCCCUCCCUACCAUGCAACACCCCCAGAUAACUGAAACGGCAAUUGGAAGGGGGAAUCAAUCUCACCAGGUCAUUAAGCAAGCAUAGCUCACUUUUACUCAAAACACUGUCCUUUAAAGUAUAAAAUAAGGGUCAAAGGUUUUUUUUUUUUUCUUUUCAAUUAAUACUGUUUAAUAAAUAGGCCAGAAAAUUAGCU